ACGGGCUGAUGAAACGCCUGGCAUGUUAAGUCAAUCGUGACAUCUGAACUGCGAAGAGCUCAUUAAAAAGUUAUAGUUUAUUUCGACGAGGAUAAUGGAUCACCGUAGUAAUCUAGAGCUAAUACACGCUGUAAGCCCGAUUUUCGGGAAAGGUGUAUUUAUUAGAUCCCAAACCAAUAGUUUCGAUAUGUGACGAUCAUAAUAACUGGUCGGAUCGGGUAUUACUCGAUGGAUCAUUCAAGUUUCUGCCCUAUCAGCUUUCGAUGAUAGUGUAUUGGACUAUCAUGGCGAUAACGGGUAACGGGGAAUUAGGGUUCGAUUCCGGAGAGGGAGCCUGAGAAACGGCUACCACUUCUAAGGAAGGCAGCAGGCGCGUAAAUUACCCAAUCCUGAUUCAGGGAGGUAGUGACAAGAAAUAUUAACAGAAGGGCUUUGCCUUAUCUGAUUAAAAUGAGGACAAUCUAAUAGACCUUACCGAGGAACAAUUUGGAGGGCAAGUC
rnacentral:rRNA from 1 species